GCAAACAAAACAACGCGCUCCCCGUCUGCACCAGGACCCCUUUCCCCUCUUGCGUUUGACCCGCAAGCAACUUUGGGCCCCCACACGGACCCCUUCUCAAAAAGAUGUAACCACCCGUGGGGAAUCUAAUCGUCCUCUCGAAGCCACCAUUUAUUAAGCACUUGCUGUGUGCACAGCGUGUGCAUAGCAAAGCCCUGAUGAGGAAAUAGAGGCCCGAGGCACUGAAAGACCUGAGGUCACACAGCUGGGACCUUGGGAGGCUUGGUGCUUCGUAUCCGACCCUUAUGCAGGUAUGGCUGGUGAGGAGGGACAAUCCUGAGAAGACUCGUUUGGGAUAGGGGUGAAAUACCGCCUCACCCCAAAAGAGACAGAAGUGUGAGAAGCCGUGGAGAUCUCUGGAUCCACUCCACAGUUGGGGAAACUGAGUCCCAGAAAAGGGGCAGGAACUCACAAGACUGUGGGGGUGGCGGCAAACUUCUUUUCCGAAAGGGGGACUUGACCAGCCUUCCUCCGACCCUCAUCGUGUUCACACUUGAAGCUGUGCUCCCUCCCACCCACUGCUGUUUACGAAUCACAUGAACUACAGGUUACCCUUUACUAGUUUGUUAAUUAAGGUGCAAGCUUGAAGGUCACUGCCACAUGACCACUACCCAAAUCGCGGCAGAGAACACUUAUGGUUCCCUCACGGCUCUUCCAAUCAGUGGCCCACGCUUUCAAGUAAGGACUGUCCUUGACUUCUAGCAUCAUUAGCUAAUUUGAUUUUUCUGGAAUUUCACAUAAACAGAAUCAUAGUGUGCACUUUUUAGUGUCUAAUGUCUUUUGUGCAACAUUAUCUGUGAGAUUCAUCCAUGUUAUCUUGUCAUCACUGAAUGGUAUUCCAUUGUGGGCACAUACUGUAAUUUAUUUAUCUGCUCUCGGGUUGCUUUCGGGUUUUGACCAUUACGAAUAAAUCUUGAACACCUCUUUUGAACACA